rnacentral:tRNA from 1 species
CACCAAGAAGCUAUACCAGCACUAACUAACUUUUUAAGUUAGAGAUUGAGAGCAUCAUAUUCUCCUUGGUGU